rnacentral:rRNA from 1 species
UACGUAGGGGGCGAGCGUUGUCCGGAAUUAUUGGGCGUAAAGAGCGUGUAGGCGGUUCGGUAAGUCUGCCGUGAAAACCUGGGGCUCAACCCUGGGCGUGCGGUGGAUACUGCCGGGCUAGAGGGUGGUAGAGGCGAGUGGAAUUCCCGGUGUAGCGGUGAAAUGCGUAGAUAUCGUAAGGAAGACCAGUGGCGAAGGCGGGUCUCUGGACAGUUCCUGACGCUGAGGCACGAAGGUCAGGGGAGCAAACGGG